AAUCUUGCGCAAUGGCCUAACGGCUGACGCAGCGACGCCGCGUGAGUGAUGAAGGCCCUCGGGUUGUAAAGCUCUGUGGAGGGGGACGAAUAAGCGCCGGCGAAUACCCGGCGUGAUGAAGGUACCCUGUUAGCAAGAACCGGCUAACCCUGUGCCAGCAGCCGCGGUAAGACAGAGGGUGCAAACGUUGUUCGGAAUUACUGGGCGUAAAGCGCGUGUAGGCUGCUCGGAAAGUCGGGUGUGAAAGCCCUGGGCUCAACCCAGGAAGUGCACUCGAAACUUCCAAGCUUGAGUUCUGGAGAGGAAGGCGGAAUUCUCGGUGUAGAGGUGAAAUUCGUAGAUAUCGAGAGGAACACCGGUGGCGAAGGCGGCCUUCUGGACAGUGACUGACGCUGAGACGCGAAAGCGUGGGGAGCAAAC
rnacentral:rRNA from 1 species